UUUUAGUUCUGCUUCCAUCCUCCGACCUCUCACAACUAAUGGAAGGACAUGGCCAUUGCCUCGAAUAGGAUUUUCUUUUUAGGUCAUAGUCUCAGUGUAUUCAUUUGGUGGCCUUGACCAAAACCAUGGAACCAUUUGUCGCAGUGCAUACCGUCCCAUCACUAACACACAACUCUACAUUCAUCAUGGUCUGCGAGAAGCACGGCAUGGGCUAGAUUAACUUCUACGAGAAAAUAAUCCAUCUAAAAAGAAAAGAGACUCAUCGCACGGACAAUCUUGAAUUAAGGAAAGAUACAUUGUCACAAUUUACCAUGUCGCCUUGUCCAAAUUGUAUUCCUGCAUCACGAAAUGAACAAAGAUACAGAAUUGGUUAGAAAUAGUCCCACAAUUUGACAGGCACAUGAUGAAUAUUUUUGACCAAACUAAGAUAUCUGAAAGAUUGUCCAACAUAAGAAUCCCGUCUAAUGCUACCAGAGCUGUCGAAUACAGGACCAAAUAUAGCACUCCCCAAAACAUAAAUU